rnacentral:lncRNA from 1 species
GUACGGCGCAGGGAAACUGAAGCAUCUACUCGCCGGGGCCUCAGCCUCCCGCGGCUCGCGUGUUCCAGGCCUUGGUCGCUCCGGGCUGACCGUCCCUGAGCGGUGUCAGAGGCGCCUUUGCCUCCCGAGGUCACCCUGUCUGGUCGGAGACCACACGCCCCGUGGUCUCUCACGCCCGCUUCCCGGCCUCGGAGCUGUGGCAUUCUAAGCCCGGAAUUUACUUGUCGCUUGUCGACACGGGGUCUGUGUUGUGUUGUGUCCUAGAUCAGUUGACUGAUUUUCACCAAAAGCCUUCCAAAGCCAGGUCUAAAACUUCCUUUUUGCACAAUCUGGCCGAGGUUUCGGUUGAAGACUCUCCCGAGGCCGUAGGGUACAGCGUCCAAACUGCCCUCUCUUGCACUGAAGCCCCUUCCUCUUCUUUCCCCUGCUUAGACCUUGCUGUUGAGCCCAAUGGAAACUACCCUGUGGCGGCGCUGCCGGUUCUGCAACAGCCAGCGCCCCCGCUCUCCCCGCCCCACGGACCGGAUGUCCCGGUGUCCCGGGAGUUGUCCUGUCAGGAACACCUUAGACCCCAGUGUCAUUGAGGGAUGCUGCGCUGGAACUGGAGAUUGCUGAAGGAAGGCCCUGGAAUAGAGGCACUGACCCUGUCAGGAUGAUGAAUGGGGUUCCUGCUCUGAAGGGAUCUCCUCAUGUUGGUUGUGGUGUUGAUUGUGGACACUGGCAUAGCAGAGUGAAGAGUGUCAUUGUCACACGACGCAUUCCAGACCUUAGUGCAGUGGCCUCAGCACAACACAGAGCACCUUUUUACUCUGCAUGAGCAAGCGGAGGGGAAGGCCUGGACUCUGAGGACUUGGGGUCCAGAGGUGGAGACCUUCCAGCUGGUUCUACCCCAUCCCAGCAGAGCCACAGAGCAUCAUAGACGGGAAGACCAGUCUUCCUUCAACUGGCCACCUCCAGUCUUGCCUACUCCUGGUGUAACUUGUAGACCCAAGAGAUCCUGGUGAAGUUUUCUAUACCCUGCACAACCUCAAUAAAUUGUCCACCUCAAUAAAUUUUGAAACAUGC